rnacentral:misc_RNA from 1 species
UUUGGUGUGUGUUGGCAUGUCGCUCCCUGUUUCGGCAGCGAAGGCAUGUUAUGCACACCUCUUCAAAAUAGUUGGCUCAAGCGAAACUUUGCUUGGUCUCGUUGGAUUUCUUGUGUUGCAUACCUCUAUGAAGGUACUCGAUGACUAAUUGCUCCAUAUUCUUACAUGCACUGAGCCUUUUGUGGUUGUGGUGUGUGUUAGACCAUGAAGCAUCCAUAGUGUCCCACUUCCUAGGUGCUGUUUGUGCAUUGGUUGUUGGAACAUUAUGGAUUGCUUGAUCUCUCGGAUACAGAAAAUUGAGUGGGUAUGAGGCAUAUCCUUGCCUUCUAUUUGCCCCCAAAUUAAGUGUUUGACGCUUUUUGCGGACGACUAUUGUUCUCGUUUUGGUUGGGUCCUUGUGGCUCGAAUCAAGCGUUAACAAUGUCGGUGAGGAA